GAUGAACGCUGGCGGCGUGCCUAAUACAUGCAAGUCGAGCGAACAGACGAGGAGCUUUCUCCUCUGACGUUAGCGGCGGACGGGUGAGUAACACGUGGAUAACCUACCUAUAAGACUGGGAUAACUUCGGGAAACCGGAGCUAAUACCGGAUAAUAUAUUGAGCCGCAUGGUUCAAUAGUGCAUGACGGUUUUGCUGUCACUUAUAGAUGGAUCCGCGCCGCAUUAGCUAGUUGGUAAGGUAACGGCUUACCAAGGCAACGAUGCGUAGCCGACCUGAGAGGAUGAUCGGCCACACUGGAACUGAGACACGGUCCAGACUCCUACGGGAGGCAGCAGUAGGGAAUCUUCCGCAAUGGGCGAAAGCCUGACGGAGCAACGCCGCGUGAGUGAUGAAGGUCUUCGGAUCGUAAAACUCUGUUAUUAGGGAAGGACAAAUGUGUAAGUAACUAUGCACGUCUUGACGGUACCUAAUCAGAAAGCCACGGCUAACUACGUG
rnacentral:rRNA from 1 species